UACGUAGGGACCAAGCGUUGUUCGGAUUUACUGGGCGUAAAGGGCGCGUAGGCGGAUUGUUAAGUCAGGGGUGAAAUCCUGGAGCUCAACUCCAGAACUGCCUUUGAUACUGGCGAUCUCGAGUCCGGGAGAGGUGAGUGGAACUGCGAGUGUAGAGGUGAAAUUCGUAGAUAUUCGCAAGAACACCAGUGGCGAAGGCGGCUCACUGGCCCGGUACUGACGCUGAGGUGCGAAAGCGUGGGGAGCAAACAGG
rnacentral:rRNA from 1 species